rnacentral:rRNA from 1 species
AUGAAAUAUCCGACAUGGAGAGGUACACGUCUUCCGAGAUCCGUUGGUGUCGUCUUAAGGCUUCUUGCCUAUCUCAGUUCAUUCUUGGUGUGGUCCUUUUAUUUUGCUACGUUGCCUCUUUCUGGGGAUACAAGGAGGAUCUUGGCGGCUAUUCAGGAGUUAAAGAAGGAGGUGAAAGAAUUGAAGGACAAAAUGCAGCAACACGUCCAGGAACCUCCAAUUGUGCUUCCACCUCGAAGGAAACCGAUAUAUAAGCUAGUAUUCAAAAGUGACCUGACUGGUCCUCUCCUAACAACAAAAAAAGAUGGCAUGAGCGGGCCAAUUUGUUAUACAAACCAGCCUAUACCCACGAAGGACGGGAACGUCAUAACGGUGGUUCUCCAGGAUUUGGACGGAAAUCAAGUUACAACUGGCGACGUUGCUUCACUGAUGGUUGAGCUAGUUUUCCUGAACCCAGAUUUCUAUGAUGGCAAAGAAGACACGGACUGGCCCGAGGCACAUUUUACGAAACACAUAAUAAUGCUGCUAAAUGAGACAAUCAAAAAGCCCAGAUUUCGUCUGAUUGGUGGGAAAGGUACUGUUCAUAAGGACACCAAAUUUGAUCGGUCCACUAAUAAACACUGGGUCAAGCUUGGGGUAAAGUUUUGUGAGCAUUCCGAUGAAAGUGUUCUCGAAGGUGUAUCAAAUGUAUUCACAGUGCAGAAUUUCUCAGGUAAUAUACAAGAAAAGAAAACGUAG